GAUGAACGCUGGCGGCGUGCCUAAUACAUGCAAGUCGAGCGAACGGACGAGAAGCUUGCUUUUCUGAUGUUAGCGGCGGACGGGUGAGUAACACGUGGAUAACCUACCUAUAAGACUGGGAUAACUUCGGGAAACCGGAGCUAAUACCGGAUAAUAUUUUGAACCGCAUGGUUCAAAAGUGAAAGACGGUCUUGCUGUCACUUAUAGAUGGAUCCGCGCUGCAUUAGCUAGUUGGUAAGGUAACGGCUUACCAAGGCAACGAUGCAUAGCCGACCUGAGAGGGUGAUCGGCCACACUGGAACUGAGACACGGUCCAGACUCCUACGGGAGGCAGCAGUAGGGAAUCUUCCGCAAUGGGCGAAAGCCUGACGGAGCAACGCCGCGUGAGUGAUGAAGGUCUGCGGAUCGUAAAACUCUGUUAUUAGGAAGAACAUAUGUGUAAGUAACUGUGCACAUCUUGACGGUACCUAAUCAGAAAGCCACGGCUAACUACGUG
rnacentral:rRNA from 1 species